rnacentral:lncRNA from 1 species
GUGGGGUGUUUUACUAGCAAAGAAUCAAGGCAGGAUGUGUUUACAAAGUCCAAGAAUUUCAAGAUUCAAGAAGUUAUGGAAGAUCAGAUUAGGAUUAACUUUUUUUGUAUUCUUAGAUUAGAUUUUAAUUAGGAUUAUGUUAGAUUAGAGAUAGAUCAGAUUUGACUUAUCUCCAAGGAAACUUGAUUGGACUAGGAUUUAUUUUUAUUAGGAUAAGAUUAGAGUUAAGAUAGAUUAGGAAUUCUUAUCUUGUAAGGCCUAUAUUAAAAAGGGCAGGCUAUCAUUUCAAAAUCAAUGAAAAAUUAGAGAGAGAUUUUCGUUUAUUCUUCUUGAGUGUGUCAAGAAACUAAUCUGAACUUAUCAAGAAUCCUUGUGGCGGGGCGGGGUUCAAACCUGACUUAUAAACGGAUAAUCUAUUCCCGUUUGUGGCGUCUUCAUCAUACCAAAGGUUCUUGCUUUGCAAGCAACGGGUAGCGGUGUUACAUUCACAACUUGAACGAGUUCGGUUUAUUUUUAGAUUUGGAGGGUCGGGUUAGUCACGUUAGUUGGCGUGGUUCGUCUCAGGUUGGUAUCAGAGCCCUACGUUCCUCAGGUUGCCUAUCAAUUUUCUUUUUCUUAUUCUUGACAUUGCCCAUUCUUUCUGAUUUUCUUGUCAAAUCGAGUUCUUUAGGAGUAUUCAAAAAAAAAAUUGACUAGAUGCCUCCCUUAUCUUCGUUUGAUUGAGAUUUCGUUUCAAAUUAUGGUUCUCGUUUUGGGUUGUUCUUUGACGACUGCCAUCAAGUUAGAAGACAAGAAAAUUGGUUGAUUACUCUAUCACUUCGUUCUGAUUGAGAUUGGUUCAGUUUAUUGCGUUCUUGUUUUGAAUUGCUCUUUGAAUUCGUUUGCAUCACGUUAGAGUCAAGGAGACAAAAAAAUUAAAAAAAAAAGUCGAAGAAGAAUUGUCUUAAAAAUGAUUGAUUCGUUAUUUGUUCUGUCUUGAUUCCUACUUGAAUCCUUUUGUUAGUUCGUGGUUAGCCUUUAAGGACUAAAAGAAGAUACGAGUGGAAAAAGGGCAGAGUGUGUGAGAUAUAAGAGGGUAAAGCCGAAACAAUUAUUGAGCGAAACACGAGAGAAAUCGGAGGCUGUGUAUCAUCCUCGAGUGAAAUACGUAAGGGAGUGUGUGGGUCUUUUCAUAUUAUUCUAACCUUGUUUGUAGCAGAUCUCAAUAAUGUCUCGAAAUCCAAGAGAAAAGCACAAGCGGGAAGUUCCACCACAAGCUGUUCUGAAAUAUACAAAUGCAAGCAUUAAAUGGAGAGAGAGACGGAUGUAUGAGAGCGGAGGUUAGGCAUAUACACGAGAGGUUGGAUAGGGUAGAAGAGGGAACACAACGGGGACAGCCAACAACGUGCUCCAAAUGUUCAUAGCGAGGGUAGAUUGCACAAAGAGAUUGGGAACAUUUGGCAUGAGUUUGAAGGGGACGGUGUAGAGGGGAGAUUGAUAGGAGUCAGUGGGGAAGCCAUAGGAGAUAUUGGCAGGGAUAGAGGAGCUAGAAAACCGGGUUGAUCACAACCUAGGAAAGUAUCAAGAGAAGAUCCGCUUUUCAAGGCAAGAGUGGGAUCCCGAAGCAUACCUUGAGUGGGAAAAGAGGAUGGAGUUGAUUUGGAUUGUCCAAAAUUACUCAGAAUUAAAGAAGAUAACGCUUGCGCAAAUCGGAAUUUACUGAUUAUGCUAUUGUGUGUGUUGGGUACCCCCCCAAUUGUGCACAAUAGGAGGCAAAAUGGAGAAUGUCCUAUGGAAAACUUGGGAUGAGAUGAAGAGGUCAUGAGAUGACAUUUGUACCAAGUCACUAAUACCGGGAUUUUACUUAAAGAUGCAAGGCCUCUAUAAGGUAACCGGAGCGUUAACGAGUAUUAUAAAGAGAGGAGAUGCUAUGAUUAGAGCCAAUGUGGAGGACGGAUCGGGAGGCGACACAGGCUAGAUUUUAAUGGGUUGAACAGAGAGAUUGCUAACACGAUCGAGCUACACCAUAUGUGGAAUUGCGAAGAUUUGGACAUAUGGCAAUCAGGUCGAGAGGGCAACUCAAGAAGGGUGGUACACGGACAAAACCAGUCUACAAACUUUUGUCGCACACCUGAAGGUCGAAUUACCCAAAGAAAGACGAAAGCCUUCCACUUCUAAUGCCAAAUCUGAGCCCAAAAAUGCCACCACCAACACCGCCUCUCAAGGCAAACCCGCCUCUACCUCGACUCAUUCUAGUGAGAUUAAAUGCUUCAAUGUCAGGGAAGAGGACAAUAGCUAGCCAAUGUCCACACAAGCGAUUAUAGGUGAUUCGGGAGACUGGUGAAUUUGAAUCCGAGGAUGCGCCUGAUUGUGAUGAGAUGCCACAUUUGGAGGAUACAUCUAGGGAGAUGAGGAGGUUUGGGGCAGAUAUGGGGGGCGAGAGGCUGGUGAGUCGCACGACGAGCCAGCUUGCAAGUUAAAGAGGAAAAAAGAAAGUACACGGGAGAGACAUUUUUCACACUCGUGUCACGUGGAAAGAUAUUAUGUAGUGUUAUUGUGGAUGGUGGUAGCUGCACUAAUGUCGCUAGUACUCCAUGGUUGGAAAAAUUAGGGCUUACGACACCUAGCACCCUCGCCCCAUAUAAAUUACAAUGGCAAAUGAUAGUGGUAAGUGAGGGUUACAAAAGCAAGUUGUUGUACCAUUUCGAAUUGGUAAAUAUGAAGACGAGGGAAUUGUGCGAUGUGGUACCAAAUGCAAGCAUGGGCAUCUUCUCUAGAAGACCGUGGGGCAAUUUGAUAGGCGGUACAAACAUGGAUGAUUUAGCCAAAAACAUGUUCAGUUCAAUCAAAGAACCAUCACUCUAGUUCUGAUGACCCAAAACAACUUAUGGGAUCAAGUGAGGUUUACAAAAAUUGAGCAAUCAAAAGCGCGGUUUGAGAGAAGGAAAAUAAUGAGAGUGACAAGAAUAGUGAAACUUGAGAGAGAAAAUAAAAAAAAUUCUAUGCAAAAUAAGUGAGGUAAGAGACGCAUUAAUUUCCAAGCAGCCACAAAGGACGUCGCCCCCCCCCCCCCUCCCCAUAAGAUGGUUUUUAGCCUGGUGAUUAGGUGUGGUUACCACAUGAGAAAAAGAAGGUUUCCAGUUACAAAGCCGUUCUAAGUUGGCCCCGAGGAGAUGGUCCAUUUCAAGUGCUCGAACGGAUCAGGAUAAUGCCUUACAAAAUUGAUACCAGUGAGUACAAUGUUAUGCUACUUCAUGUUACUGAUUUGAGUCCUUUCGUGUAGGUGAAGAUUGAGGGCAAAUCCUAUCAAGAGGGGGGGAAUGAUGAGGACAUCAAGGACUUCAAGGCUCAUGGUCCAAUUCAAGCUCCAAUGGUCAGUGACGAGAGAUCGAGCUAAGAGAUUCAAAGAAGAGCUGAAUACUUUAGUCCAGAGAGUACAACAACAAGAAAGUAGUUCCACUACAGAGGGUGAAUAAAAGGUUGGUUUUACUACUCAAUUCGAUCCGGGAGAGAACCAUAGCUAUACAGUGUAAGGGGGUUAAACUGAUUGUGGGUGUGUUUUAUAGCAAAGAAUCAAGGCAGGAUUGUGUUUACAAAGUCCAAGAAUUCAAGAUUCAAGAAGGUUAUUGGAAGACCAGAUGAGGAUUUAACUUUUUUGUAAUUUCUUAGAUUAGAUUUGAUUUAGGAUUUGAUUAGAUUGGAGAUAGAUAAGAUUGGGACUUAUCUCCAAGGAACCCUUGAUUGGACUUGACUAGGAUUUAUUUUUAUUAGGAUAAGAUUAGAGUUAAGAUUAGAUUAGAAUUUUAUCUUUACGCGAUAAAAAGGGCAGGCUAUCAAUUUCGAAAAUCAAUGAAAAAUAGAGAGAGAUUUCGUUUAUCUUCUGAGUUUUUUAAGAAAAACUAAUCUGGAACUUUAUUCAAGGAAUUCCUUGUGGCGUUCAAACCUGACGUAUUCAAACGGAUCAUCAUUUCCCGUUGUGACCGUCUUCAUCUACCAAAAGGUUCUUGCUUUGCCUAAUGCAACGGGGUAGCGUGUUUACAUCAAACUUGAAAGAGGUGUUUGGAUUUGUUUUUCAAUUUGGGUCGGGUUUAGUCACUUGUUGGGUUUUGGGACGAUGGUUCGUAUCAACCCCAGAAAAGAUGUGACUCACCCUCGUCGGUCGCAACAUAAGUAGUGUCGCCUGCGGAUUUCUCCUCGGCGUUAUCCCUGCCGCUGGACGCCAUCCUUUCAGAGUAAAGACCGAAGCUCCAGAGGAAAGACUUUGACCGAAGGACAUCCUUAAUUGGAUAGAACUAUCUUUGAUCAACAAAGAGGAGUUAAACUUGGUAAUUAAAGAACAAUUCAUUAAACAAAGACUGACCUGGGGUGCUCUACGACCUCGGGACCCUCGAAACUCCAAGAUCCCGGGAGAGUCCAUGGGCAAACUCCUAGGUAUGUCACGAUAUGAAGAAGAAUUUAUUCUUUCAUCCCUUGACAUUGAUGGGGUACCCCCCGAGCAGGGUUCGCUUUGGUCUUGCCUUGAAAUAAAGCCAUCUAAAAUCUAGUUUCGGGUUGUUGAAGAGGUCAAAUAAAUUCUUAAAUUCAUUUAGAGGGAGGGAGAACUUAUGAAAUUGCCACAACACCACAUGCUAACGACACUUCGCUAUGCAUUGGGGGCUAGCUAGGCGAGGCAAAUGUUGUAAUGCUCCAAUAUACUCCUAAUCAUGGGGUGAAUAGGAAGACACAGGCUGGCCUGAAAGGCAGCCUCAUAAAAGCCAAUCUCACUUGGGAGAGUAGAUGCUAGUCUUGUCUGCCUUAGGAAGCCUUUUCUGGAUCCCAACUGGGAAGGAGCAUGACUCCCGAAGGCUUCAGCAACCUGGAGAUCGGUGUUUGUUGACGGACUUUCCUCAUUAUUAAAAGAAUCCUCCCUAAGGGAGGAGGGAUAUUGGGUGACAUCGGUUGUCAUAUAAGACGAACAAGUGGUCGGUACUUACUAAAUGACUUAAACGAAGACGAGAUGAUGAGGGCGAGGCGAGCUAAAA